CCUACGGGUGGCAGCAGUGGGUGAUAUUGCACAAUGGGGGAAACCCUGAUGCAGCGACGCCGCGUGGGUGAAGAAGCGCCUCGGCGCGUAAAGCCCUGUCAGCAGGGAAGAAAAUGACGGUACCUGAAGAAGAAGCCCCGGCUAACUACGUGCCAGCAGCCGCGGUAAUACGUAGGGGGCAAGCGUUAUCCGGAUGUACUGGGUGUAAAGGGGGCGCAGACGGCGAUGCAAGCCAGGAGUGAAAGCCCGGGGCCCAACCCCGGGACUGCUUGUGGAACUGGGUGGCUAGAGUGCAGGAGGGGCAGGCGGAAUGCCUGGUGUAGCGGUGAAAUGCGUAGAUAUCAGGAGGAACACCGGUGGCGAAGGCGGCCUGCUGGACUGCAACUGACGUUGAGGCCCGAAAGCGUGGGGAGCAAACAGGAUUAGAUACCCUUGUAGUC
rnacentral:rRNA from 1 species